rnacentral:rRNA from 1 species
GACGAACGCUGGCGGCGUGCCUAAUACAUGCAAGUCGAGCGAAGCGGCGGAUGGGUGAGUAAUGCGUGGGUAACCUGUCCGUAAGUUUGGGAUAUCAGUUGGAAACAGAUGCUAAUACCGGACAAUUAAGGAUGGACCUGGGAUGCAUUAGCUAGUUGGUAAGGUAACGGCUUACCAAGGCGAUGAUGCAUAGCCGAGUUGAGAGGCUGAUCGGCCACAUUGGGACUGAGACACGGCCCAGACUCCUACGGGAGGCAGCAGUAGGGAAUCUUCCACAAUGGACGAAAGUCUGAUAGAGCAACGCCGCGUGAGUGAAGAAGGUUUUCGGAGCGUAAAGCUCUGUUGUUGGUGAAGCGGUAAUCAACCAGAAAGUCACGGCUAACUACGUGCCAGCAGCCGCGGUAAUUC